AACCCAGGGCUACACUGACAUCAGGCACCAAAACCAUCUCAGUCGGAGGCUCAGUGAGUCUUUCCUGCUCUGUGAGAGACUCUGAUGGAUGGAAAUAUGAGUUUUACAGAUCAACAUCAAACACCUGGGAGACAAAUGUUGAGAACAACAAAGUCGAGGUAUCUAAAGGAGGAAUUUACCGGUGCAGAGGAGAGAGAGAAACAUCAGGUUAUCUCUCUGACAUGAGUGAUGAAGCCAACAUUUGGAUAACUUUCACCAACAAGCCUGUCAUAACACGACAACCCAGCUGGUCUCAGAUAUUCCAGGGUGAGGAGAUCACUCUGACAUGUGAGGUCCAGAGAGGAGAGACGAUUGACUGGAGGUAUUCCUGGAGGAGAAACUCACAAUAUCUUCAACGGAAGAACGAAAAGGUCUUAAAAGUCACUGCUUCGCAGUCCAUUAAUGGAGAGUACGACUGUAUGGCCACACGCAAAGAUGACAUUUAUUCUUCAACCACAUUGAGUGAAGCCUUCACAGUGUCAGUGUUACCUCAACCAAAAGCUCAACUGGGAACCAAUAAAUUCAACAUGUCUGAAGGCAGCAGAGUGACGCUGACCUGCUCAGUGAAUCAACCAGCUGGAUGGAAAUACUUCUGGUACAGAGACUCCAAAAACUCCCUCCUGAACACACAUGAUACUGAUGAGUAUCAGAGUCAGUCUGAAGUCUCACAGGAGGGACGUUACUGGUGCAGAGGAGGAAGAGGAGGAAGAGGAGGAAGAGGAGAUCCACUUUAC